rnacentral:lncRNA from 1 species
UUAGUUUUGCCCAUUCUUUUCUUUAGAUCAGCAAACGUCGGCCUCCUCCUCCAUUCUCUCCUAGGGUUUAAGUUCUUCUAUUUUCGUUCAUUUUCAACUCCGAAUAAGAGAAAUUUCUGAUUUGACGAAAAACUUAUGCAUGAUUGCUUCAAUUAGUUCAUUUUGGCCCAAGCUUUACUUCCAUUCCAACUGCAAAGAGCUGUUGGAGCGAUCUAGGAGCGAACCACAAAAAGUUGCAGAGAUGGGCCAUGGGAGAAAAGUCUUACCUUGGAAGCUCUGUUUAGUACUAUCUUAGAUCAUCUCCAAAAGAGUCAGUUUAUUUCUUAUUUAUUCUCUUACUUUUGAACUGGGCUUCAAAAUUUUUUGUAGUUGUGUGUUUAUAUGUAUAAAAAUCUAAUUUUGGUGGGUAAUUAUUUCAAUUUUAGCACUCUUUUUUUGAAAAUCUGCUUGUAUUCAGCUUCUUUAUCAUUCUUUUUCUUAAUAAUAGCUUAAAUUCCCAUUUGUUUUGUGGUUUGGUUCCAUUUGAUAUUCCAUGCCCUUUCUUUGGUCUUUUACUGGAACACCCUCCAAGAAUAGAAUAUUGGGAUUGUAUGAUAUUGAUCCUAAAAAAAUUUCUUGCCUAUAUCAUUUAAUUUUGGUUUCCCUUGCACUUGCUUCUUGAUUGUUCUGGAAAUUAUGCUCCUUUCUUGACUAAUUAAAUUAUUCUUCAUUGGGAAAUUCUAACUUUUUCAAUUAAUUAUUGGUCUGGAGCCAUGUUCAUGAAUCUUGAUUAAGAUCGUUAGGGUUUUUGAUAAAUUUUUUUGUGGGUAGCUUCUAUUUUACUGGAUUUUGGUGAUUCAAAGUUUUUCAUCAUUUGUUCCUGUUGUAUAUGAUAUGAUAGGAUACAUAGAUGAAAACUACUCAUCUGUGAGGAACCAACCAACUCCCAUUUUCCCUGCUCUGCAGCACCAAACGGAUGCACUAGAAAUUAUAAAACAGGGAGGAAAACAUAAAACAAUAUAGUAGAAUAGAAUAUUGAGAAAGAUGGAAUGAAUAUAAGUCUUAUUGCAGUAAAAUGUGAGUCCUUCCUUACUACUACUCAGUAAUAAAUGGCUGGCUAGAUUUGGUGGUUAAUUGAACCUUUACCAACCCUUUGUACGUACUAAAGUCUUUUCUUCUUAUUCAAUUAUAGGAAGCCAUUGUCCCUUAUGUCUGUCUUUUUUAGUGAAAAAUAAGCAGUCUCUGUUAGCUAGCUGCAUAUUGAGAGCAGCACAUGAAAGACCUCAGAAGUAGUUUUAUCUUUUGUUGCUGUUGAAGAGAGUGACAGACAGAGAGAGAGAGAGAAAGAGAUAAGCCUCAAACCAACUAAACCCACAAAUUAUGUUAUAUUCCUUAUGAGGAGGAGGGGAAGCAUUCAAAAGACCAAGAUAUUCUCACAAAAUAAUGGGAAACCUCAAGUCGCUGCUUGUUAGUGGAUACCAUAAGUUGCCCAGAGCCCCUUCAUUUAAGGUCGUCCCUAGUAGUGAAAGCAACACGAAAAUGCAGCAACUGAACAAUCUAUAUAUAAACAUCUCCGAGGAAUGGGAACCUGAUCGUGAAUCCCAUAGAAGAAAAAGAAAAAUAAUAUUAUGGCAAAAAGUGUAUCCCAUAGAAGAUUAAUCAUGAGUAGUAGUAGUGUUGUCAAGCCCACUUCACAAGAAGAAGAGAAGAAAACGGCAAGCUGGCAUAAACAACGGCGGAAAAGAGCAGUAAUGUUGUUGUUUUUGAAGCCAGUUGUGGAUAUGAUAGGAUACACAGAUGAAAAGAAAUUUUUACGGCGAUAUAAUAGAUGCUCUUCUCAACUUAUGCUAACCCUGCAUCCAAUUAUGGAUAUUUAGAUGUAAUUCAACAUUUUGGUUGAGAAAAGUUUUUGUAGUAUUUUAAUUUGGUGAUAUAUAGUAUAAAAUAUUUUCAGAGGCAAUGCUAUUUGCAAGUAUUGUUAAUUAUUCUUUUUCAUUUUUAAAUAUGUAGUUUUUGGUGCUUGAUUGUAGAAGUUGUUAGUAUCCUGUUGAAACCAUUGUUCUAGUGCUAUCAUAGCAUUCAACUAAUGCUAUCACUCAACUAAAACUUAUAAAGCACUAAACAAUAUCUACGAAUUUAAGGAUAAAAACAAAAAACACAGCCUUGAACCACCGCACCAUCCAGGAGCAUCCACAAGCUUAAGCACGCUUGCCACGGAUCCUCCAAGCUAACUGGAUGUCCUUGGGCAUGGUCGGCUGUUUGUUGUGAUUUCACAAUCACAAACUAGGAAAAAUCAAACAAAAUAAGAAUUCAGAAGAAAGAAAAUCAAAAAAAUGAAAAUUAAGGUUUGGAUUAAUGGAAGAAUAGAACAGAGAAGUUUACAAAGGAGAUAUAGGAGUUUACAAUUCCAAAAGCAUAACCUUCUCUCUCUCUCUCUCUUUUAUCUAUUACUACCAGAAUCUCCCACUUAAUUACAAUCAGACAGCUGUUAAUCAACUCUAACCAACUUUCCCUCCUAAUCUUAAAUUUCCAAUAUACCCUCAAAAGCCUUGAAGUCUGUUACUUCUUUUAUCCCUUCUUUCAGCUAAAAUGUCCAGUUGUCAUUGGCUACUUCAUAACACUUCCCCACCCUCAGAAUGUCGUUUUCCUCAAGGACUGAAAAUGAACUCUUGAAACUGAUACAUACACAUGAAUAGCUGGAACCUUAGUAGCAAUUCUCAAAUAAAUGUAUAACUAAAAAAAUUGCUUAGUAAAUGUAUAAAUGUAUAACUAAUAAGCAUGAACAACAGGAACCUUAGUAGCAAGUUGCUUCCUUGGGGACUUUCCUCCAGUGGACUUGCGAGCAGUUUGUUUGGUACGGGCCAUCUGCAGAAACCAAGAAAAUUACAAAAUUUGUAGGCCCUAGAAAACAUGAAGUCUAGUAAUUUAGAGAAUUCCAGUCAAACUUUAUAUUUGUUCAACUCAAUUUAAAAAGAAAUGGUUAAACAUUUACGACCUAGUUGAGCCUAUAUAUCUUUCAAAUUCUUAAUUCAAACAAUGUUAAAAAUAUUCAGUCAAAACAUCUUGAACCGUAACUAAGAUCUUUAAAUUCUUCUUUAUUAUUUAUGAAGGUAUGCUCUUAAAAGGGGAACUUUUCGAAAUUUGCACGUAAGUUAUCCCUUGAUCAAUUGCUCAUACAUAUAUCAAUCACCUCCAGUUAAACCAAAAUUAUCUACAUUAUAUCAAACCAGUCACACACAAAAAUACAUAAACACAAAAACCUUUUAAUCCACAUGGCAGUUUAAGAAGAAAGUACCUUUGUUGGCCAUAUCUUUUCCUUUUUUCCUUUCUCAUUAUCGUCAUCUUUGUUAUGUUUAUUUGUUAUUCAUAAACAACAAUAAAAAUCAAAAAUAAAUAUUUAUAAUAAAAAUACAUAACAAAUUGAUGUGUUUGUACCUAGUUUUGGACAAAUAGUCCUAUAAUAGUUGGUUUCUCCACACUCCACAAUAAGGACUACUAGUUGGUUUCUCCACACUCCACAAUAACGAGUUUUUUUACCCUUUACUUCUUUAGCUACCUCUCUACCUGAUUGAAAUCUCCCUUUGGUCUUCCUUUAGUACUCACUGGUUCGUUAGGAUCAUGCACUAUUAUUUCUGAAAUAUCAACAAAGGACACAACUGGACUUGAUGUUAGAGUUGAAUCUAUUUUGUUAGUUCCCGGAGGCACAAUAGUUAUCUAGUAGGGGGGAGGGGAGGGGGGAGGGUUGAAUAGAAAUUUAAAAAAAAAAAAUCGUUUUACUUUGUCAGUUUUGAUAAUGAUUUAAACACGACGGAGUUAAGGUUUGUUUGAUCUCCCUUUUAGAUAUAGUGAGUUAAUGAGAGUGAGACAAUUAUAACAGUUAUAGCAGUUAUAGCAAGAAUAAAAUAGACACAACUGUUUUAAGUGGUUCAGAGCACUUAAAGCUCCUAGUCCACUCUUUUGCUAUUCGAGUAGAAAAUUCACUAAGGAUGUCUUUUACACUUUCUGAAUCUCACAGAUUCUUUCUAGACCAGCAGUCUAGGAACUUCUUAGUUCACUCUUGAACUCUUCAAGUCCAGCAGACUUGGUUUUUCACAGUUCACUUUAGAACUCUUCAUGUCCUUCUGACUUGGAACUUCUUACUUCACUUGUUUGGCUAUUGUUGAGUUCUUGAUUGGUGCUACUCAAUUGCCGUUAAGCUCUUGUUCGAAAGAACUGAGUAGUUGUGCAAGCUUUCACUUUUUCUUAGAUCGUAGAGUUGAUCGUUGAGUAUUUUUCCUUUUUGUUCAAUUGCUUGCAUACUUGAAUCAUCUGCAUAUGUCUUGCAUAUAUUUGAUCUUUGAAAUUUACCCGUUGAAUCCAUUCGUUGAAGCAUUUAAUGUGUUUGACGUUUCUGAACUUUGAUGAAGACUUUUCUGCAUAUCUUCGAAUCCAUUCGUUGAAGCAUUUAAUGUGUUUGACGUUUCUGGACUUUGAUGAAGACUUUUCUGCAUAUCUUCUGAAUUGCAUUCUGGCCCACUGACAUAGCAGACUGCUUUCUCACCUAACACCUAAAAAUGUGUUUUCCUCUGUCCCAUGGUCCUUUCCUUAGCUUCUUUAAUACGUCUCUUUGUUGCAUACUAAAGAUAUUUUUAUGCCAUUGGUACUGGUGAUUACUUCAACGUUUGUAACCCAUUUCACAUUUGUUAAGAUUUUAUCUUUGAACAAAUGAUCAAGGCCCACAUCUUCUGACACAGCCAGAUGAUACUCUACGAUUCUUAUCGUGGUGUCUUGCCACCUUGGUGCUGGAUGCAAGCAAACGAGAGCACUACGAUUUCUCUUAAGGACGGGCACACUACGAUCUUCACUUGCUUGUUUCGCAGACUCUACGUUUUCGAGAGCACACUACGAUCUUCACUUGCUUAUUUUGCAGACUCUACAUUUCCGAGAGCACACUACGAUCUCUAAGUUGGCUUCGACAAACGUCUGGACCACUCUACGAUCUCUGGAGAGGCCCUUCAAGGUAGUCAUACUACGAUCCUUGAUGCUCUACGAUUUUGCCUUGGCUUCUGCAGACUUUUGCUCAGCUCAUUAGACAGCAAAUCUGAUUGAAGCCUAUCUAUUACAUUUCAAUAUAUAGAUCAACCUAACAUCUUUGAUCUCUUUAUCUAUACAUUCAUUUACAAAAUGAUGAACAUUGAAAGCUUAGAUCAACCUAACAAUUUUGAUCUAUCACUAAGUCCUUGUACAUAUAUUCCUUGAAGGACUUCACAUAUAAUCAUGAACGAUUACUAUAAACAUCAAAUCAAGAUAUGCAUUCUUCCCACAAUCUCCCCCUAUUUGAUGUUGACAUAACCAAGGAGAUUUGUUGUCAUGAUUAUCAAAUUCUAUGUGCAGUGCAGUAAAGUAAAUAUGACUUAAUAUUUCAGUGAGCAUUUGAAAUUUCUAGAGAAUAAGCAUGAAUUUAUUGAUGUUUAAGGAUAUAUAUUACAUUUAAACUUAGUUACAUCAAUAAGAUUUGAGUUUCAACUUAUCUCUAUUUCUUUUGCUUUUUUCUUCUCGGAGGAUUUGCAUAUUCCUCAGCUCUUCUUCUCCUGCUAGCUUCAUCUCUUCGUGCUAUUUCUUCCAGCUCGCUUUGACUAAGUCUGACUAUGAUCGUGCCUAUUCAUGAAUGUCGGAUCUCCAAUUGGCAUUCUUAGGCCUGUUGUUGUCACCUCAUGUGAGCUGGGAGAAGGCCUUUGACUUCUUAAUGGUUGAGCCAUGAUAAUUGGUUCAUCAUCAGAUUGUUGAGUAUGAUGGCCAGAUCGUGGAGUUUGUUGAUGAUACUGCCUUGGAGGACUCCUUGAUGAUUGAGCAGAGAAAGUGCCUCUGCCUCUGCCCUUGUCGCCUUGAUCUCCUUUCCCUUUAUUCUCCCCCUUUUAUGUCAGCAUCAAGGGUCGAAUGUCUUCUGAGAGACGAGUCAUUCCUUGGACAAUCUCGUUGAGUUGACUUUGAGUUUGAGCAAUGUCCUCUCGAUUUUCUUUGAUCAAAGCAUCAAAUUGAGCUUCCCUUUGUUGGAGGAUGGCUAAAACAUUGUCAGUCUGCUGGCCUUGGUUGACGUAAAAUUGUUGGAGUUCUCGUACGACAGUUUGCAGAUUGAUGAAGCUCUCCAUCAUAAGUUUAUUAUGAGCUUCUUGAGUGGUCUGUCAGACAAGAACAAUAUCCCUGUGUCUUUUGGCUAUGAGAAAGUGGAUCUCAUCCCUGUCCUUUAUGCUCUGAAUCAUUUCCUUGAUGAUCUCCUUAAGCUUCUUUGUGAGCUCAGAGCUUAGGGUGCUUGGGAGACUAUUUGCAGCACUGAUCAUUGUUGUUAAUCUCAUUUGAAUGACUUCAGUGUGUUCUUCAAGACUAUCAUCGAUUUCCUUGAUCACUUUCUUGGACAUGUCUGACAAAUCGGUUUUGGUGGGCAGUUCUGAAAUAAGUUCAUUGAGUUGGGGAAUGUGUGAAGGAGGGGGUGUUCUCUUGUAUUGAUCUUGUAAUGAGUAGAUGGCAAGAUUAAGGUUGAAGUAUUUAUUUGUGGAUGAGGAGGGAAUAUCGGAUGGAGGGGCCUUUAUUUUGGCGUCUGGAGUAGGUGGCUCUAUGAUUUGAGCGAGGGACUCUACGAUGGGGCUAGAGUCAGUAAUCGUAGAGUUGAGAGGAGUUGGGAUUAAUAUGAAGGUGGGCAUAUUUGGUUCAUCAGUUACAGAAUUUUGGGAUUCUGCAACUGGGAAUUGAUUUAGUGGAUUAAGAGCCACUUCCAACCAGCUUGGAAAUUCAUAAAAUUGGCUGAAAAAAGAUAGUAGAUAGUGAUCAACUCUGAAAAAGAUGGGAUAGAUAAUACCUCAUACACAACUCUUGAAGAGGGACCAUUUGUGAUGAGCUGUUUGGCAAAGUUGAAGUUGCCUGGAAAUCCAUGAGCCAGUACAAAGAUGGCUGGAUAUUCUCUGAAGCUCCAGAACAUGUGAUUCCAGGAGUUUAGAAUUUGAUCUUCAUGAAAAGGCAUCAUGGGUAAAUAGGAGAACAGUUGAUCGUAGUUAGCUUUCCUGUACCCGUCAUAACCCACAACGAUGAUCUCGACCUCAUCAUCUUCGUCCUCUUUUAUGUCUUUGCUCAAGGAUUCCACUACCUCAAUGAUUUCUCUUUGUUCUUGCUUUGGUUCUCUCUCAAUUUUUGUAGGAGCAGCUUCUUCUGUUAUGGGGAUAUCAUGAGGCUCCCCCUCAACGUGAUCAUCCAUUUGCAUUUCCAAAGGGCUCCCCCUCAGCUAUAGCACUUUCUAGGGUGAGAACUUUAGAUAGCUCCCCCUCAACUUGAGUAGUGUUUUUUUGUCCAGCUUCGAAUCUUGUGAUUGUGAUGUAGUUAGACUAACCUAGUGUUGUAUAUUUGUUCUUUGACAUGAGAACUACAAGAUUGAAGCAUUUAAACACCAAAUCAAUGUCCAGAAACCAAGAUAAUCAAGUUGCAAAGUACCUACUUGGCACUGACUGGGUUUCUGGGUAACCCAAAAAACCCAGAAACCAUCUGACAGUCAGUUUACAGGCUUAGAUCUUCAUGGUGUGAUGUAGUAUGACCCUGAUUGUUGUUAAUACAUGUAGUAUUACAUCAAUACUACAUGAUCAGUACCUUAGCAAGCCCAAAAACAUCAAGAGCAGUGAAUUGAAGGUGGUCAAACUUAGCACCUUGAGAUUGACUUUGAGUGUUCUUGAGGCUCAAGAACACCAAUAGAGACAGUUUCUGUCGCUAAAAGCUUUAGCGACAGUUUUAUUAAAAUUAAUUAUAUUAAUUUCUGAAAAAUCAUUACAAAUAGAAAAUAAUUUCAAAAAAAUUCCAAAAUGAGUUUUAAAAAUUAUUUGAAGUUAUAAAAAUUAACGUUUGAUAAUUUGACAUAUUUUUCAUUAAUAUUUUUAUUUAUUUGAAUAUUAAUGAUAUUAAAAUUAUUUAAUAAAUGAAUUAAAUAAAUUAGUUAAAAAUGAUUUUAAUAUAUUAAAAAUAAUUUUAAAUGAUAAUAAAGUGUUUAAAAAUAUUUGAAGUUAUAAAAGAUGACUUUUAAUAUUUGGAGGUAAAUUUCAUUAAUAAUUUAAUAUUAAUGAUAUUAGAUUUAUUUAAUAAUUAUAUUAAAUAAAUGGUUAAAAAUUGUUUUAUUGAUUUAAAAAUUAUUUAAAAAUGAUAUAAAUGAUUUAAAUGUAUUUUAUGUUAUAAUAAAUGACUUUUAAUAUUUUGAUGAAAAAUACAUUAAUAUUUGACUAUUAAUGGUAAUUAGUUAAAAAUAAUUUUAAAUGUUUUAAAAAUCAGUUAAGGGGAAUAUUAGUGUUUUAAAAAUAUUUUAAGUUAUUAUAAAUAACUUUAAUAUUUUGACAAUGAUUUCAUUAAUAUUUUAAUAUAAUUUUAAUAUUAAUGAUAAUGGGAUUAUUUAGUAUUUAAAUCAUUUAAAAAUGAUUCCAGUGUUUGAAAAAUUAUUAUAAAAGAUAAUAAUUAUUUAAAAAUUAUUAUAAGCUUCCAAAAAAUAUUAUGAAUGAUAUUUUAAUUAUCUAAAAUAAUACAGAAGCUUUGGGACAUAGUUUUAUUGAGAAUAAACUCAUUUAUUAUCUGAUAGGGUAAUCAAGACCUAGAAUUGAGAUUGAGUCCAACCAGACUGAAUUAGUUAGACCUGAUAAGUGUUUGUAUAUGUUAUAAACACUAUUGUGAUUACUUGAUUAUGUGAUUAAGUGAUAUAGUGACUUUAACUGAUAGUGUUAUGUGUUGAAUAUGUUAUGCUAAUUGCGAGACCAACAUUAUUGAUUAUAGGUCUUUAAAACGCAGCUAAGUUAUAUUGUGUAGCAGUAGUCAACAGUCAAGGCAAGUUUCCUUAACUCAAUCUUAAGUUAUUACUUUUCAAAUAUAGUAGUGGGUAAUUAUUGUUGAUUAUUCCACAUCUGAGAUUUAUUAUUGUUUAUUCGGAGUUAGUGCAAGUUCAUUAAUUUAAACUGAGUUUUAAAUUUCAAAAGCGUGACUGGUGAAUAACUAUUAUUGGUUAUUCACAUCUAUAAGUGUUAUUGUUGAUUGCAAAUUGUGCAGUUGAUUUCUGUCUAUUAUUGAACAUUUUUUGAGCUAUGUCUCAGCUAACUAUUUUAGCUAGACGAAUAUUUGUUGAAACUUGAUAAGUUCUAAGUUAAUUGUUAUUGAAAGAUCAAUGCCAACUAUUUUGGCUAGAUCGAGAUAGAUAUUAGAUGUUGAAUGUGACGCCCCCAAAAUAGGUAUACAUCACUCAUCUUGAGUCGCCAAAUACAUAGUACAAAAUUUAAAUACAAACUUAAUUUAUACAAUACGAAAAAAGCGUAGCUGAGAGUUUUAACACGAAUAUUAUCUCAUAGACAAUAUCCAAACUCAAAUGGAGUCCUCAUUACAUUUAUUAUCACACUAUUUUAUAGAAUAGUGAGGACUACUAUAACCACCAUCUCGGACCGUCACUCCAUUCCUCGACUAGUCCCGGUUACAUUCUCAUUCCCUGAAAAGAACAAUGAAAGCAAAGGGUGAGCUCCACUAGCUCAGUAAGAAAUAUUAUGACUAAGAUAAUGCAGAAUAAAUUAUCGUUAGCCUUCAACAGUGUUAAACUGAUAGAAUACAAUAGACAACAAGUUUAACUGCAGCGAAACAAACAAACCAUUAGAAGAGUCAAGUAGAGCAUGAUAUCUACUAUCUUCUAUGAUUUAAAAGUUUAUCAUCAAUUUUAUUGCUGAGACUCAACUUAAUAAAUAAUUCACAUCACUGAAUUAUCUAUGCAUUACGGGCCAAUGAUAUUCAUUAGUAUCACAUCCACGAAUUAUUCAUGCACUACGGGCCAAGGAUAAUCGUGUUAUCACCAAUGGUUAUAAUCAUGCCAACAACUGCCCAUCAAUGCACUACGGGUCAAUGAGGACUUUUAUCACAUCAUUUUUAACAUUACAGGUCAUGAUUAUACCGAAUAAUUCUGGUCAUGAUUAUACCAAAUAAUCCCUGGUCAUAAUCAUACUAAUCAACAGUCCAUCUAUGCACUACGAGCCAAAGAUGACUUUCAUCACAAUAUAAACAUGAUGAUGAUGACAAUUAUAUAAUAAUUCAAUUAAAUGAGAGCAAGGAUAAAGUUUAAAGAUUUAUAAUUUAAUUUAUACAGAAUUCUAUAAUGUCCAAAUUGUCAACAUGAUACUGCUUUGUGGAGUAAAAUUCAAGAAUAAUAUUGUAUCAAAAAUGAUUUGGACCGAAAAGAAAUUAAUUUUUGUCAUGAAUAGUACCUCGGAUGAAUAGUACCCGGGUGAAUAGUACUUCGGGAAUAGUACCCCGUGAAUAAUACCCCGACAUGAAAAGUUUAAAAAUUAUCAAGAAGGUUCAGAAUAAUAUUUCCGUGAAAAGAUACUAGAUGAAACACAAGUUUCAAGGAUAUUCUACUAAUUUCAUAGAGUAUAGAAGCAACACUUAAACAAAAUGAGUGUAGAAUUCGGAAUCUGAAACGAAAUAAUAUUACUUGCAUACUACAGAGUAUGGAAGAAAAUAUUAUUUCUUACGAAUAUUGAACAACAAUAAUAUCUCUUACCUUAAAAAGAGAGUACUUCUGACUGGUAGGGCUGUGAUAUUCUUUAAGAAAAUUUGUACUAUUUUCUACACUCAAAGCAUCCUAAAACUCAAAAGAAAUACGCUCAAUAUUAUAGAAGAAGAUUUCUCUGAUUCUGGUGUAAUUUUUAAUUCUAAACUAAGCAUCCUAUUUAUAAGAGAAUGGUAGGACACUAUUUGGGCGAAUAGUAGAAAAGGUUCACGGGCCAAUUUCACGGGCGCAGAAUGAAUUUUCUGAUUUUACUAUGCAAACACUAUGCAUAAUAAAAUAUAAUAAAUUCUGAUUUUUAUAAAAAAACAAAACUUAUAAUAUAUAUAUAUAUAUAUAUAUAUAUAUAUAUAUAUAUAUAUAUAUAUAUAUAUAUAUAUAUAUAUAUAUAGGGAAUUCAUCCAUGACAAUUGGUUGUUAUGAGCAACCCAAAAAGUUAAGGCACAACAACUUGUUGUGCUGGAGACAAUUAAAAUGGGACGUCCCAUUUUAAUUGUCCCAGGCACACCAGCUUGUAGUGGCUGGAGUAACUUUCUUUUUGGCACUUGUCUUCUUUUACCACUUUGAUUAUUAAUACUAUUAUAUUAAUAUUUUGUAAUAUUAGUAUUUAUAAUAUUUAUAUUUAUAAUAUUAAUAUUAAUAAUGAUAUUUUAUAAUAUUAUUAAUACUAUAUAUUAAAUACUAAUAUUACAAAAUAUUGUAUUAAUAUUAAUAUUAUAAAAUAUUAUAUUAAUAUUAUUAAAGAAUAUUAUUAUUAAUAUUAAUAUUAUAAAAUAUUAUAAUAUUAAUAUUAAGUAUUAACAAUAUUACAAAAUAUUAUUAUUUAUAUUUAUAAUAUAUUAAUAAUAUUAUAUUAUAAGUAUUAAUAUUUUGUAAUAAUAUUAUAAGUAUUACUAAAUAUAAAUAAUAAUAUUUUGUAAUAUUAUUAAUACUUAAUAAUAAUAUUAUAAUAUUUUGUAAUAUUUAUAAUAUUAAUAUUAAUAAUAAUAUUUUGUAAUAUUAUUAAUACAAUAUUUUAUAAUAUUAAUAUUAAUACAAUAUCUUGUAAUAUUAGUAUUUAGUAUAAUAGUAUUAAUAAUAUUACAAAAUAUUAUUAUUAAUAUUAAUAUUAUAAAUAUAAAUAUUAUAAAUACUAAUAUUACCAAAUAUUAGUCUGUACAGAUAUGUUUUGUUAUAUGUAUCCAAAUCACACCUAAAACACUGUAUUAUGUAAAAAUUCCAGUUUCAUAAAAUAUUAAACUUUUUUUUAGUUGUUUUUUUUAAAAAAAAGCAAAAAAAAAAGGUCCGUAUUUUUAUAAAGUCCAGGAUCCCUGACUGGAUCUGGACUUUCUCUCUCUCUCUCUCUAUAUAUAUAUAUAUAUAUAUAUAUAUAUAUAUAUAUAUAUAUANNNNNNNNNNNNNNNNNNNNNNNNNNNNNNNNNNNNNNNNNNNNNNNNNNNNNNNNNNNNNNNNNNNNNNNNNNNNNNNNNNNNNNNNNNNNNNNNNNNNCUCAUUCCCUGAAAAGAACAAUGAAAGCAAAGGGUGAGCUCCACUAGCUCAGUAAGAAAUAUUAUGACUAAGAUAAUGCAGAAUAAAUUAUCGUUAGCCUUCAACAGUGUUAAACUGAUAGAAUACAAUAGACAACAAGUUUAACUGCAGCGAAACAAACAAACCAUUAGAAGAGUCAAGUAGAGCAUGAUAUCUACUAUCUUCUAUGAUUUAAAAGUUUAUCAUCAAUUUUAUUGCUGAGACUCAACUUAAUAAAUAAUUCACAUCACUGAAUUAUCUAUGCAUUACGGGCCAAUGAUAUUCAUUAGUAUCACAUCCACGAAUUAUUCAUGCACUACGGGCCAAGGAUAAUCGUGUUAUCACCAAUGGUUAUAAUCAUGCCAACAACUGCCCAUCAAUGCACUACGGGUCAAUGAGGACUUUUAUCACAUCAUUUUUAACAUUACAGGUCAUGAUUAUACCGAAUAAUUCUGGUCAUGAUUAUACCAAAUAAUCCCUGGUCAUAAUCAUACUAAUCAACAGUCCAUCUAUGCACUACGAGCCAAAGAUGACUUUCAUCACAAUAUAAACAUGAUGAUGAUGACAAUUAUAUAAUAAUUCAAUUAAAUGAGAGCAAGGAUAAAGUUUAAAGAUUUAUAAUUUAAUUUAUACAGAAUUCUAUAAUGUCCAAAUUGUCAACAUGAUACUGCUUUGUGGAGUAAAAUUCAAGAAUAAUAUUGUAUCAAAAAUGAUUUGGACCGAAAAGAAAUUAAUUUUUGUCAUGAAUAGUACCUCGGAUGAAUAGUACCCGGGUGAAUAGUACUUCGGGAAUAGUACCCCGUGAAUAAUACCCCGACAUGAAAAGUUUAAAAAUUAUCAAGAAGGUUCAGAAUAAUAUUUCCGUGAAAAGAUACUAGAUGAAACACAAGUUUCAAGGAUAUUCUACUAAUUUCAUAGAGUAUAGAAGCAACACUUAAACAAAAUGAGUGUAGAAUUCGGAAUCUGAAACGAAAUAAUAUUACUUGCAUACUACAGAGUAUGGAAGAAAAUAUUAUUUCUUACGAAUAUUGAACAACAAUAAUAUCUCUUACCUUAAAAAGAGAGUACUUCUGACUGGUAGGGCUGUGAUAUUCUUUAAGAAAAUUUGUACUAUUUUCUACACUCAAAGCAUCCUAAAACUCAAAAGAAAUACGCUCAAUAUUAUAGAAGAAGAUUUCUCUGAUUCUGGUGUAAUUUUUAAUUCUAAACUAAGCAUCCUAUUUAUAAGAGAAUGGUAGGACACUAUUUGGGCGAAUAGUAGAAAAGGUUCACGGGCCAAUUUCACGGGCGCAGAAUGAAUUUUCUGAUUUUACUAUGCAAACACUAUGCAUAAUAAAAUAUAAUAAAUUCUGAUUUUUAUAAAAAAACAAAACUUAUAAUAUAUAUAUAUAUAUAUAUAUAUAUAUAUAUAUAUAUAUAUAUAUAUAUAUAUAUAUAUAUAUAUAUAUANNNNNNNNNNNNNNNNNNNNNNNNNNNNNNNNNNNNNNNNNNNNNNNNNNNNNNNNNNNNNNNNNNNNNNNNNNNNNNNNNNNNNNNNNNNNNNNNNNNNUUCUUUUUGGCACUUGUCUUCUUUUACCACUUUGAUUAUUAAUACUAUUAUAUUAAUAUUUUGUAAUAUUAGUAUUUAUAAUAUUUAUAUUUAUAAUAUUAAUAUUAAUAAUGAUAUUUUAUAAUAUUAUUAAUACUAUAUAUUAAAUACUAAUAUUACAAAAUAUUGUAUUAAUAUUAAUAUUAUAAAAUAUUAUAUUAAUAUUAUUAAAGAAUAUUAUUAUUAAUAUUAAUAUUAUAAAAUAUUAUAAUAUUAAUAUUAAGUAUUAACAAUAUUACAAAAUAUUAUUAUUUAUAUUUAUAAUAUAUUAAUAAUAUUAUAUUAUAAGUAUUAAUAUUUUGUAAUAAUAUUAUAAGUAUUACUAAAUAUAAAUAAUAAUAUUUUGUAAUAUUAUUAAUACUUAAUAAUAAUAUUAUAAUAUUUUGUAAUAUUUAUAAUAUUAAUAUUAAUAAUAAUAUUUUGUAAUAUUAUUAAUACAAUAUUUUAUAAUAUUAAUAUUAAUACAAUAUCUUGUAAUAUUAGUAUUUAGUAUAAUAGUAUUAAUAAUAUUACAAAAUAUUAUUAUUAAUAUUAAUAUUAUAAAUAUAAAUAUUAUAAAUACUAAUAUUACCAAAUAUUAGUCUGUACAGAUAUGUUUUGUUAUAUGUAUCCAAAUCACACCUAAAACACUGUAUUAUGUAAAAAUUCCAGUUUCAUAAAAUAUUAAACUUUUUUUUAGUUGUUUUUUUUAAAAAAAAGCAAAAAAAAAAGGUCCGUAUUUUUAUAAAGUCCAGGAUCCCUGACUGGAUCUGGACUUUCUCUCUCUCUCUCUCUAUAUAUAUAUAUAUAUAUAUAUAUAUAUAUAUAUAUAUAUAUAAGUAACUUCCUACUGAUUAUUUUGAAAAAUGAGUAAGUGGGGGGUCUAAAUAAUACGCCAAACUUACAACAAAUACUUCAUAAAAAUCACCUCUAUUUAUCUUAAUUCACUUGGCUUCAUAUUGGGCUUGUUUCGGGUUAACAAAAUAGACACUAACGCGUGCAAGUAUACACGGUCAACAAGUAGUAUAGAGUAAGUUAAGUAUCGUUCCCACGGAGAAAGGUGAAUAUUUCUAAACUAGCAUGCAACAACCUUAUAGCUAUUUCUAGCUGCUUAAACGAUCGAUUAACAGGUAAAUUAAAAUCUAGAAUAAUUAUCAACACAAAAUUACUAAUUACUAAAUUAAGAGAUUAAAAGUGGAAAGAUAUGGGAUCCUAAUGUCAUUUAAUACUUUAUCCAGAAUGUACACCUCUUGGUAAGCUUUUUUAAUUACUUGGACUGCUAGUCGAGAGCACGAAAGUGUAACAUAACUAUUUUUCAAUAUACCAUGUCCAUAUCACACAUAAUCCACAAAGAGAUAGAAUUUAUAUGAACACCAAUAUUACCUAACCCAAUAUAUGUCUAUGUGAAUUACAAGCAACAUUGAUUUAAGUAAUAGCUCUCUCAAUGACUACAUAUGGCAAACCGGUAUAUGUCUAUCCGGGUUACGAAUCACGAAAUACAACACAUGUAAAUCUCAUGAACACAUGCUAACAUGGUCAAAUCUGAACUUAUAUUUCCUUUUUUAAUUCCAUACAAGCUAUUAGAAUAGAUGAUGAUCAAGCAUCCAAACAUUUAGGCACAACCAAGCUAGGUAAUCCACUUAUAAUCAUACAAGCAUCACAAUAAGGCAUACAAGUCUGAACUACACUAUAAACUUCAUUAGAAUCCCAUAAUGGGUGUUAGUUCAUCACUGAAUCAACAACCAUUAUGGGAUUUAAGCUAAGCAUGAAAAGAAACAUAGAGAACAAAGAGAUUAAAGAGAAAUGAGAAAGCAAAUCUGAUUAAACCCAGCUCCACAAUGUGCUUUCCACUUAGUUCAGAUCCAUAAUCAAAACCAAAAUGAUACCCAAUAUUCACAAGCUAUUAGAUCUAGAGAGAGAAGUUAAAAUAUAGAGUAAUGCUAUGGAAUCUCUCUAGCUCUAUAAAACCCUAAAAUAGCAAAAUGUAACUGAUGAAAUCUAUCUUUCGUAACAAGAAAUUACACCCUUAUCACUACAAGAAAAUGCUUUAACAGCGAUAAAAAAUAUUAGCGACCGCACCUCCGGUCGCAGAUAGGAUUAUUAGCGACCGACAGUGGCGACCGAACUUGAAUAUAGUUGCUAGCUUAUGUUAGCGUCCGGGUGCGGUUGCUAGUUGGUCGCUGGUUUAAUUUUACUACCAAAAAAAUUGGCAGGAAAUGUUAGCGCUAGUUUGUUGCGACCUCUCACCAUCAGCGACCGCUUUCAGUCGCUGAUACUUCCACAUCAUUAAAAUUUAGUGACCGCAUGCGAUCACUGAUGCCAGUCGUUGAUCUUUUUAAUCUAUCAGUCUUUCGCUCGACAGUAGCAGAAUCAAAAAGGAAAAAAAAGGGAGACCGAAAAGGGAGAAGAGGGAGAGAGAGAAAGGUCUUGGCUAAAUGAGAACUAAAGUAUAUAUUUUCUUACUUUAAUUAGUUUUCUUUCUUUUGAUUCUAUGGAUGUAAAUGCUGCUAAGUGGUAACAAUUGGCUGAUUUGAGAGAUUUAGAGCACAUGGAAAAUCUCCAUUAAUGACUCACCAAGAUUUGGCAAUAUCUUUUACUUAAAAGUUAAGUAAAAGGGCAUUUUGGUAAUUUUGUACCUACUAAGGGUAUUUUGGUCAUUUUCCCAUAAAUUUGAAGGGUAAUUUGGUCUUUUCACAUCUAUCCCAUAACUUGUAACCCUUAGGUUUUAAUACUUAAUAUUAGGGUUCCUAAAUUAGGGUUUAGAGAUUUUUGAUUAGGGUUUAGGAUUUCCAGAACUAAAAUUAGGGUUUUCAAAGUUAUAAUUAGGGUUUCUUAACAUAACAUUGAUGUUCUUAACAUAACAUUAGAGUUUACCAAUGUUAUACCUUACCUGAUUCAUACUUAACCCUUAACCACAUACUGUACACACAUAUAAACACAAAACCAUAUAAAUCCUUCAUAAAUUUUUUUAAAUCCAUACCUAUUUCUAGUCUACGUCUUAUUAUUCAACCUUUAUUCAAUCAUUUAAGAUUUUAUUAAUCGUCUAAAUUCUUGUGUUGUCACAGUUAUCGCCGGAAUUGGAACUACAUCCCUCGGGGUUGUCUCCGAGGUUGAAAACUGUAUUUCUCGGGGUUGUCUCCGGGGUUGAAACUGACUUGACUUCCAGGGUUAUCUCUGGAAGAUGGUUUUGCCCUCCUGCAGGGUUAGCAACAGGAAUGCAAAAUUUUGAGUGUUUACAAAGAUAUAUGAAACUGGAUUGCGCCCAUCAACAAUUGUAAAUGUUGAUAAUGUUCAUGGGAAUGGUGAGAAUGAGAUGAUAACACAACAAUGUGUAGAUCAUUUGCACGUAUAGAGAAAGAAUAUGGUUGGUCGUGAAUGCAUUUUAGUAGUUCAUCAUUUUCUAGCAAAAAGAGUUAAUGACCCGUCAUUUUUCUUUGCCAUAGACUUGAAGAAGGAUCAUGGUCUUAAAAGUGUUUUUUGGGUCGAUGGGAGGUCGAUAUCGUCAUGUCUACAAUUUAGUGAUGUAGUUUCUUUCGAUGUUACAUAUCGAACUAAUAAAUUUUCAUUACCAUUUUUCCCUUUCACGGGGGUUAAUCACCAUGGACAAUCUAUAUUGUUUGGUUGUGCUUUACUUGCAAAUGAAAAAGAGAAAUCUUGUACAUGGUUGUUUCAAGAGUGGAAGAAAUGCAUGUGCGAAAAAGAUCCUAGGGUAAUUAUAACACAUCAAGAUCAUGCUAUUUGCAAUGCUAUAAAGAAAGUAUUUCCUAAAACUCGAUACUGAUUCUGUUCAUGGCACAUUGAGAAGCAUAUCACAAAGAGACUUCAUCUCCUCCGCUCUAGCAAUCAAGCAUUUUGUGAUGAGUAUAAAACAUGGUUUUAUAGUGAAACCAGAUUAGAAUUAGAGAGCCGGUGGGAACUUUUGAAGAAGAAGUACGAUUUGAAUAAGAAUACUUGGUGGAUGAACUUGUAUGAAAUGCGACAUUAAUGGGUUCUUACAUACUUUAGAGACAUCUUUACAGCUAGAAUGACAUCUACCCAAUGUAGUGAGAGUAUUAAUUCAUUUUUUGAUGGAUUUGUUCAUGCGUUAAGGCCAUUAAAUGAGUUUGUGACGCAAUAUGAAAAUGCUCUUGUAUCUCGUCAGCAAGCAAAGAAGGAAGAAAGUUUCAAGACAAAAAAUUCUCAUUCAAUAUACGAGACUGAGGUUGAGAUUGAGAAACAGGUUGGACAAAUCUACACUAGGAAAUUUUUUGACAUAUUUCACACUGAAUUAAGGCUAGUUAUUACUAUUGGAAGGAGAAGGAGAAGGUGAGGAAGGAUGGAGAUAUACUUGAAUAUAAAGUUUGAAAGAGCAUGAGUCCUAAAGCUAAUUGGAAAACUAUUUUGUAUGAUGGUGGAAAAACUCUUAAUUGUUCUUGUGUAAAGUUCAAGACGGAAGGAAUGAUAUGCAAACAUAUAAUUUGUGUUAUUUGAUUCAAAAAAUUUAUUUCCAUUCUAGAAAGAUAUAUAUUAAAAAGAUGAACUAUGGAUGCUAAGUAUCGACCUGGUAUUGUUGGUUGUUCAUCAAGCAAGGUUAAUGUAACUCCUAUGAAAAUGUCUCUCAAAUCAAAAAUGUCCAAAGUGUUACAAGAUGCUAAUUCAUCACUGAAAAUUUUUAAUGAAGUCAAAUAUUUGUUGGAUAACAUGAUAAAAAGUGUCAACGUCGGGAAAAAGUUUCCUUUUUUUCUUGGAAUUCCUAUUUUUACCCUUUAUGUUUUCUAUGUGUUGAAUUUCGCUUGAAAGGGUGAGUUUGAAAAGAGUCCAACAUAAAAUGUCGAUGAUUUAAAAAUUCAGAGUCGCCAGUUGGUAGUAGUGAAAUGGUUGUACCAACUCAACCAAAUUUGAAAAGGUUUACACAAAGGCCCAAUUAUUGGACUCUGUUUAACAUGCCUUGGAAACCGAGAUUUAUAGAGUUCAGGAGCUUGAUUAAGCGGGGGAAAGGUGUUAGGCACCUCCCAACUUACGUGAAAACAUGGUUACUACGUCUUUUUAAUUCCCUAAUUUAUUUGAAGUGUGUGUGUGUGUGUGCGCGUGUGUGCGCGUGUGUGUGUUAAUUGGGCCUAAGUGCAUUUAUUUGAAAGUAGUGAUAUGCCUCGUUUGCUUAUAUACAAAGUGUUUGAUUAGUAUAAAAGUUCAAUUAUAAACAAUGUGUGCAUAAAUGAUGUUUUGAAAACAUGUUUUCAAACCCUUAUGCUCACAUGGUAAUUAAGGCCUUUGAUACUUUCAUUUUAUUUCAUAUUUGGCUUGAUUUGUUUUUAUUCUCGAGAUGCAAAGCAUCUUCGACAAAAUAAUAUACAUAUAAGUGUCGGGCUUCUUAUGGGCAUGAAAGCCAUCAAAGGAUGUCCAAACACCACAAAUAUGAUUUACAAGCUAACUAUACAACUGAAAAAAGUCCAUCGUGGGAACAAGACCUAGAUCCGUCAGCUGAAUCUUAGAUCUCGUGGCUCCUUGGUUCACAUAAUAUCAUCUGAAUAUCCUGCAUAACGAGGAUAUUGAAAUAAAAAAAUAAUUAAUCUAAACAACGCAAAACAAAGGAUUCAUCAGUUAAAUCCCUACCUGCGCCUAGCCAAGCUUCCCGUUCCCUCUAGAUACAGAUCUAGGGUCACAUGGUUGCUUAAUAUUUUAAAAAAAACUAGAAAGAAAACUAGAUUUAAAUAAAUCUUAGCCAUUCUAGCUCAACUGUUUCUGUAACAAUUCAAGAUUCUAUUAGUUGUAAUUUAAAAUAUUUAUUAAAUGAAAUAAAUAUUUUAUUGAUGUGAUUGUUGUUAGUAAAUAUUUAUUUGAUGUGAUUGUUGUUAGUAAAUAUUUAUUUGAUGUGAUUGUUGUUAAUAAAUAUUUAUGAAUUAAUAAAAUUCUAAUUUAAUUUAAUUUAUAAUUUAGAGAGUUGUAAGAUAACAUGAGAUGUUAUAUUUUUGUUUUGAUUUAAUAAUUUAAGAUGGUAUGUUAAAUUAUUAAAUAAAAUUGUAAUGAAAUUAUAAUUUUGUGAUAUUUGUUUAAGUGGAAUAUUUAUUUAAAAUAUAGUAUGUGUAAUUAAUUUAUUUAUUUAAUGUGGGAUAUGGAAAUCCAAAUAAAUAAUAUGUGAUUAUAAAUUAUAAACUAAAUUGUUUAUUAAAAUAAAUUAAAGGAGUUAAAUUUAGUUUUUUUGCCAAACAAGGCUUAAAGAUAUUAAGUCUUUAAUUUUUAAAGAGUUUUUGCCAAACAAAGCCUUAUGGCUUUUGAAUUUUUGAUUUUUGAAUUUUUAGAUAAUAUAAAUAAAAUAAAUAAAUUAAAUUAAAUAAUAAAUAAAAUAUAUUUAUAACCUAAGCGUUAUAUCUUUGUAACUGAUAUUAUAAUAAGUAGGCAUAUUAUGGUUAUAUCAGUUCUAAUUUUUACGCUUACUAUUAGUUAGCCUAUAUUGAUACUGAGAAAGGAAGAAGAGAAUACAAAGAACUUGGGAGAGAAUUUGAGAGAAAAUCUAAGAAUUUCACAACAAUUUCAGUGGUUUUAGCAAGGAUUACCAAGCAAAUUGAAGGUAUUUUACAUAACCUAUAUGUGUGUGUGUGUGUGUUUCACGGCAAUUUUUUUUUUAUGUUCUGUGAAUUCAAUUUGUUUAAUUGUUGAUAUAUAUAGCUGGUAGUUGUGAUUAUACAUGUUUAUGAUGUUAGAGUUUGCAUUUAGAUAAGAAUUUGUUAUGCUAAUUACGGUUAAAAAGGAAGAAAAGUAUUUACAGUAUAUAUAUUUCAUAUUUACUUGUAAAAGUACCAAAUAUGGUGGUCAAUUUGUAUGUUAAUCUAUAAAUUGAGUCUUGAUUAUGCUAGUCCAUUAAGAAACGAAGAGAAAGUAGUUUGAACGAAGUAAUUUGGACAAGAAUUGUGAUCAUAGUGAGGAUUUUUGUGAAGGAUGUCAAAAAAAUUAAAGUUUUAUACAAAAACAUGAAUUUAAGGAUUUAAAUUAGUUAAAGUUGUUGUUAAAUUGUUCUAAGUGAUUGAAUAUGUGAGCAAUCAUGUUUGUGUUAGUUCUGUACCAAUUACAUAUGCUUAAUUUACUAUUUUGUGGAUGAAAUUCGUGUUAGUUGGCUUAAGAGCAGUGUCGAAAUCACGUUCUGCAAAACUGGAACUGGUGCGUAGCGGCCGCGCUGCCGCGCGGGCGCGCAGGAAUCUAAGGCAAAAGUAGCGCGGCCGGGCCAGUAGUCUGCCAGACCCAGUGAAGUCUAUUAUUUUUGCAGACUUUGAAACCUUAAUGUAAUCUAGUUUAGUGAUGUGUUAAUGUGAGAAACAUGUAAUGAAAAGGUUAAAACAGAAUAGUAUCAUGUGGUUAGUAACUCUAAAAUGUAAAAUUAGUUUGUUGUAAAAUGAUAUGUUAUGAUUUAAGAAAUUUCGUGAAUAAUGAAUAAGUGUUAUGAAAUUACACUUGUGAUUCUGAAAUGUGUAUGGUAAGGUGAGACUUGUACUAAAAUAACAAAUUUUGCUAGAGGUGAGUGUUAUUUUGGAAUGUGGAUGUUAGUAUAUCUAAUAGAUAUUGUCAUUCUAAUAUUAUGUGUAGGUGAACGUGAAUUGUAAUUUAUAGCUUACGCAUGAGGCAAGUUUCCAAAACCUUAUUUCUUUACAUUGAGCAAGUUUCCUAUCUUAAACUGUUAUUGAGCAAGUCAUUUGUUCCUAAAUUUCAUUUGAGCAAGCUUUAACCCUAAUUUUAUUGGAAUUCUAAUUAUGGUUGAUUCACUCUAACUUGUUUAUAGUUAAGCAAGUUUCUCAAGUUCUAUUCCUUUAUAAUGAAUGCAGCUUUUUGAACUCUCGUCUCUAUUAUUGAGCUGUUUUAUUUUAAAUUGCUUUGCACAAAUUAUUACCAUGUUGAGCAAGUUUUAUUUUCAGUUUGCUAUCAGUUAAUGUAUGUUCAGUAAUUUCAUUUCUAAUGUUAUAAGAUCAUAACCUUAGCUUAUUAUUGCUCAAGCAAGGUUUACUGUUUCAUUCAAUACUUAUGUUUUAGUUUUUUUUUUCAAGCAUAAGUUUAAUAAAUAGUUAGUUCAUCUAUGAUUAUUCAUUGUUCCAUACUAUGUUGUUAGUGAUCAACGGUAGUGUUAUCAAACCUUGUUGAUUCAACUAAUCCUUUAGUUGAUGAUCGUUAAACUCUAAAUUACCCUUGAAGUUAUCCAAACCAAACUUUCUUUGGUGCAGACUUGUACUCAAAAACUGAGAAGAACAACCUUAUUAUAGGGGGUACGCAAUGCGUUUAGAUGUUUGUGCAUAAUACAUGGUACGAAGGGCUGAUCCCCCUAAGUACGUGAAGUCCCCUACAGUAUAACUGUUAAGGUUAAAGUUAAAAGAUUACGUGUAACCGUGGACGUAGUUCGUGGUCUUAUGACCCUCAUAUAUAUUUCAUAUUUUGAAUUCAGUUUUGGUUACCAUUGAUAGAGUACCAUUCAGUUUUGAUGAACCUAUUCAUUGGCAGUUAUUAUUUUCUUGUUGAUUUAUUGCUAUAUCUAGUGAGCAUUUGUUUUGCUCACUCUUGCAUAUAUACACUCAUUGCAGCUAAAGUUGAGAAGGUUGAUGAACCUACAACUAGCAAAGGAAAGGGAAAAAUGUACAAGUGAUGAAGACUUGUAAUUUCAUUUAUUGUCAUGAUGAUAGACUUUAAAAUUAAUGAUGUGAUGUAAUUAUUUUAUUUCCGCACUUUAUUGAUGUUUAAGGUUAGACAACCUGGGAAGACUUUUUGAUUAAUGAUGUAACCCUUUUAAAGGGAGGAUUUAUGGUUUAAUUCUAUUAUAUUUGGGUAGUUAGGAUGAAUGUAUGAAAAGUGAACACUAAGUCUUAGGGGAAUGAAGUACCCAGAUUUGGGGGUGUCAUAGUUCCAAUUUUAUAAUUUUUGAACCGGU